rnacentral:lncRNA from 1 species
CCAAAACUCUAAUGUGACCUAAUGCUUCUUGUAUAUUUCACUCAUAAUGACACUGUUAUCAUCAUGAUUGGUUUCUCUCCACCAUGUCACAGAAGUAUAUGUGGUGGUGUUGAGAGCCAACAUUUUCUCAGAGACCUCUGCAGUUUUCUGAAAACCCUGAAUCCCAAAAGGGAGAUUGUUAUUAGAAAAAGAGGAGGAUGUGUUUUAGAUCUCUUGGUUCAGCUAUUCUGCAGGGAAACACCAGAAAACAGAAGCUUAAUUCUUCCUCAGUGUCUGGACAAAGGACAACACACCAUGAGACAAAGGGAUAAAUCUUCAGAGAGAGAUUUAAAAAAGACAUUUGAGGAAAGGGAUUGUUGUGGGGAGAGAUGAAGGCUCACUAAUGGAUUGAUAAUGCCAGGAACUGGCAAGACUGCAUGUGUUCUGGAACUGAAUCCUGCCCAUGCAACCAGAGGCACAGAAAUUACUUCUCUCUCUUAUCUCAUGUGUGACAGCUAACAAUUUAAUCUGCUUUGUUCACUAUGCAGGUUGGCUUCUCUUCCUAGUUAGUGGAUUAUGGGAACAAAAAGCACUGUGGUUGUGAAACAAUUACUCUGAUCCUCCAAUUGUUUGUGUGUUAUAAAGCAAGAUAAUCUUUCAGAUAUUAAGCAAAUACAUUUAGGCUCUCAAUAACUUGACAUUCAGCAGUGUGCUAGGUAUUCUGAUAAGCAACUUGUACGCUCAGGUUUCAUCUGGAGGUCAACUUAACAAGAGGUGUCAUGGGAACAAUAACUUGGAGUCUGUCUUUGAUCAAUCGCUUAUGUGGAGCUACUUCAUUUCCCUUUCAAAGAACAAUCUCCCUUGAGUCUGAGGUGAGAUCUGUAGGAAUCUUUGCUGAUUCAGUGUUGGUUGCUGUGUAAAACAGCACUGGGGAUGACUGCAGUCUCUUCUGAUCCUUCCAAGCUCUUAUACCAGCUUCUAAAAAUUGUGCAGAAGUGGGUGAGUGGGGGGAAUGGGUGGACUGAAUGGGAUGGAAGCUGGGAUUUCUUCAGUGCCUGUUCGUCUCUGAUAGAAUGGCUUUUUUCUCUUGCAGAGACCCCAUGUGUCACCUGAGGCAAACCCCUGCUAGGUCAAGGGACUGCCACCCUGGGGCAUACUCUCGAUCACAAGACUGGAGAGGUGCCUGCCUAAAAUGAACUGGGGUGGAUGGUAGAACCAGAGCAGCCACAGAAGCAUGGAUAUCCCAGAUGAGAAGAUGCCCGUGCCUGUCCCCGUUCAAGUGGUCUGAGGCAUUUCUGUUGUGUAGGAUGGUGUCAGACUCUAGAGGAUAAAAAUAUCUUUCGGACGAACAGAAAAGUAACCAAAAUGAAUACAUCAAAGAGCCCCAAAUGUGAGCAAAUUUCUACAAUUCUGGAUUUGAAGAGGAGUUGGGUAGCAGAAAUGGCAUGCAGGGGCAGAUUCUGGACCUGAAGCUGAUGGGCUCUGCCACAAGUAAUCACACAGAUACAGGUUUUUCUUCUGCACUGAUGAUGCUGGGGUUGUGCUGAUGCCUGCCUGCCUGCCUGCCUGCCUGCCUGCCUGCCAUUUUGGUGCUAUUUCUUGCAGUCUGUACAGCAAUGCUUUGGGUAUGACUGGCUCUCUUCGUAUCUGAACAGGAACAAAGCCAUAUAUUCCCUAGGCUCUGUUAAAAUUCAGAGACCAGCCUGUGAACUGGUUAGAGAGGAAGGAGCCAAAAGUCCUUUCAUCUACUCUUGCAUACUCCCCGAUGAGCUGAAAUAUGCAGUUUACUAUGCACCUGGAUGUUUAUUUUCAAGGAGAAAAACAAACUAAUACAUAUUUAUUUUUGUUCCCACAGUAUUAUUUUUUACUUUCAGGCUAUAUUUGCUGAACAAAAUAGUUGCAGGUUUCCUUUUAACCUAAUAAACUUUUGUACUGUUGCACCUCAUUAUAUAUUUUGUGGCAUUGGGUUUUGAAUCUGCUGCUUCAAUUACAGAAACUGCCAACAGACGUGAAAAUCCAGAAGACAGAGGCUGAAGCGUUCCUGCCUUUUAGCUUUGGAAUUACUUUUGCAUACUCUGACAGUUUUCCCUUAUAAACGAGGUUGGUGAUAGCUACAGCUAUGGAAUGCAAGAAAACUGAUGCAAACUUUGCCACCAGAAUUAAGAAGAGAACAUUUUUUUCAAACCAGAAGUUGGCACAAUUCCUGUUUUUCUGUCUUCACCUUCCUCUCUGCUCUCCCAGGUCUGUUACUUAUUAUCAGAAGUGGGGAAGAGGAAGUAUAUGCAAGGUCACAUAAGAGGAAAUACAAAUGUGUGUGUGUUUUGCCCUGAGGAGUUGCAGCUUCCUUUCUGAGAAGACAUAGUAGGAUUUUGUGUCGUUUCAGUUUAUUGUACUCAGAAAAGGAUAAGAGUUGAUGUAAAAGGUUUUACCCUUGGUGUAUGUAAGGCUAGGAAUUUUAGUCUUGGCCUUUAGCCUAAGUGAUUGAAAAUGCAUUUGUAUUAUUUGUUUAACUGACCAGAAAAUGCACCGAGUGGAUGAUGCAUUGGACUGUGUAGAGUGGGAAGAUAAAUUCGUUUUCAGAUUAAAAAAGAUGGAUUCGCUUAUGAGGAGAUCCUGAAGUUUAAAGAGAUGUUUUCUGUAUAUGUGGAUAGGUUAGGCUGAGGUAGGAUAAUCUCAACAGAGAAAAUUAAAACGGUGUGUAAAAGCUCUCCAAAAUCUUGGAGAGACUCACCAAUCACUGUGGUGGUACUGUGUUGGUGCAUUGGUUCCCAAAUACCCAGUUGCAUGUGUGUCAUGCAGAAGACUGGAGACUCGGAACUCAUCCAGAAAAACAGGACUGGAGGAGAUUAAAAGAGAGUUAGGAAGACAAAUGGUUUCUCAGAGCAUCAUUUCUCAUUUCCAGGUCUCUGACAGAGCAAUUGUCAAGAGUCUGGACUCCUAUUUUGUCACCCAGUGUGUUCAGAAUAACUUUUGUCUUGGGAAGUAAUAUUAGAAAUAUAAAGCCAAACACAUUCUGUUAAGUAAAAUUAUUUACUACUUUGACCUUUCAGUCCUUUGUGCCGUGGUUCACAAAGGUAUCCUCCAUUCUUUACAGCUUACCCAGGCUGUCUGUACGAGGAGGACAGUCCAUCAAAGCUACUCUUUUCCAGCAUCAGGAUCUGUUGGCACUUUUUUGGUGUUUUGACUGUUAGUGCCUCUUCUGCUUUUUUUUGUGGUGAUAAAGGAGCAGUGAAGCCUUUUCCAUUUGAAAAAGAACCUGCUGAGCUUAGGGCACACCCCUUAUUUGCCAUUACCAAGAGAAUGACCCUUGCAAGCCAGCUGCUCUAAUUGUGUGCUCGCAGCCCAGGCAAAAAAUGCUCUGAGAAUUUACGUUUUUUAAGAGUUGGUAUUGAUAAUGAGGCAUAUUAAAAAAUUCAAAUUAUCUUUUAUUAAUGAGUAAGGAUGGUGCCUAUAGAAGAAUCACAGGGAAGAUGAAACAGUGAAGGGCAUGGAUAGUUUAUGAUGGAGCUACAAGGAUCUACAUGCUAUGAGUGUCAAGGUCUGAACCCAGGAUUUUAGUCCUAAUUCACUAACCUUUCACCCUGGUAGCUCAGUUUCCUUAGAUAAUGAGGCCACUGGAUGGAGAGGAAGAAGUCUGCCACAUGUGGUUUAAGUUAGUGUGGUUGAGUCUGCACUGGAAUAGAUAUGGCUGCCUCCAGACUAUGUUAAGAAAUGGCAGGUGCCCUGGUAAUGGCUCACUGAGGUUUCUGUUUGACUGUGCACUAGUGCAGAUGCACAAGUGUUAUAGUUGGAAACAACUACAUUAUACACUUCACUCCUAAGAGGGAAGCAGGAAUGUAU